GCUCCUUUGGCGGAAUAGGUAGACGCACUUGACUCAAAAUCAAGCGAGGUAACUCGUAUCGGUUCGAUUCCGAUAGGGAGCACCA
rnacentral:tRNA from 1 species